UGUCCACAUUUCAAAUAUAACCCACCUGAAACACUGUGCAGGCCAAUGGGCUGCAGAAAGGUCAGACCGUACGGCACUCCCUCUUUUGUUCGAAACCAAUCAGAGUGGAAGUGUGGCAUUUGGCCCGAGGGGAAAACUUACCCCUGGAUGAGUUAUGUACGCAUCACUUAGCUGUUGCCAAUGUGUUCACAACGCUGGACCCUCUUUUGGGCUUUUUACAACGACUGUCCUCAUUUCUCGGUCAAUCUAGUAUGGAAAGUAGACAACAAUGGCUUACCAGGCUGAAAAAUGAACUUAGUAACAGUCCGCUGGUGUCAAAUGUGGCUUUUGGCUUUAUUCUGAUGGGACUAGAGAAGCUGGUAGAGCUAGAGUUUGAGUGUCCUUGCAACCCUACAUGGAACGGAGUGUUUUCAUCUGCCUUCUUCAUCAUCCCUGCUGUCAUGGCCUUCACCCUGAUGCUGAUCAUUCAAGGAUGCAGGUGUGACAUAUGGCGCCGGAAAACUGUGUCCCUUUCCAGUUUUGUUCCUGCGAUCGUGUGGCUCAUUCUGUUGUUUCUCGACGGCCAGUACUUUGCUUGCGCUAUGACAGACUGGGAGGGCAGAUUUGUAAUUGUAGACAAAGCUGCUCCACAGAAAUGGUGCGAGCCAAUAAGUGAGGGAGAGGUAACCAUACAAGAACUGAUGGUCCGCUCGCAACAGCUUUUCGUUUUUUCUCAGGUCAUAGGCAUAGUUCUCCUUAUUUUCAUCUGUGUGGGUCUCGUAGUGUAUGUAGUACGAGAAAGCUGCCAGCAAGAAGUGGAGUUGCAGGAUGCUGCAGAUGUUGCAGAGGUCACUGUGUUACGGAUGAGCUCUGUGCGCACCAGAACAUCGUGAGAGACAUCCAGCACUGUUGUGCAUCCCCCAUCAAGACUUUGUAAAUAGAGACUUUUUAAUGUCUUAUGCUACCACCAAGUGCCACUUUCCUUGUCAUCCUCCAUCAGAAUAUCUGGAGCCAGUGAAGUCACUGAAACAUCUCAAUUUUAUUUCUUGUCCAAGACCAUCUCACAAACCAUCUUAUUUUGCACCGUUGGGUUCUUUGUUCAAUGUUCAUUUUGCUCAGGCUCUCGAUCAGUACAGUAUGUGUUGAAAAGCCAUGGAUCCAUUAAACAUGAGGAAAUUACGAGGAAUGUUAUAACAAAAUUAGAGUAACACUGUUUGUUUGGUUUGGUUUGUUUUAAGUGGGGAUGCUUUGGCAGAAAAUCAGAAAAUAGCCUACUUCUUAUAAUAAUUUUGUCUUUUCCUAUUAAUGUUACUAUAUGGCCUUUGGUGAAAGUAGGGGCAGUGGUGGAUUGUACAACCAGUGAUGAAGCAGAAAGACCUCUAACAAAUGCAUUUUAGGCAAAUGGUAAUUUGUGAAUCUAAUGUUCAAACAAAACAAAUUUUGUAUUUUGUAUUAUUUUUUUUACUUUGCUUCUCUCUCAUGAGAAGCAGUUAAUUGUUACUUUGAUGUGGACAUAGGUGUAUUCUGCUCAGCAGCUCAUACAGCGCCGUUAAGAACAUUGUUGACUUGUAUUGAAUUUAAGAGGUCAAAAUCUUUGAAAAUACACUUUCGUGACUUCAUGUGUCUAUUUCAUUAUGAUUUCCAUUUUUGCCUCAUGUUAUGUGAAGUCAUGAACUAGUCUGUUUUCAUUUGAUUUUUUUUUUUCUGUAUUCAUGUAAUCAUAAUUUAGCUCUGUUAAUUCUAUAAGGGAAUUAUAUAAUAGGACAUAAUUUGAGUAUAAAGA
ensembl:lncRNA